GCCAAAGUAGCUCAGCUGGGAGAGCAUUAGACUACAAAUCUGAAGGCCCCCUGGUUUGAUCCCAGGCAAUUUUGCUUGGCA